rnacentral:rRNA from 1 species
GACGAACGCUGGCGGCGUGCUUAACACAUGCAAGUCGAACGAGAAGAGAUGAGAAGCUUGCUUCUUAUUGAUUCGAGUGGCAAACGGGUGAGUAACGCGUAAGCAACCUGCCCUUCAGAUGGGGACAACAGCUGGAAACGGUUGCUAAUACCGAAUACGUUCUUUUUGUCGCAUGGCAGAGGGAAGAAAGGGAGGCUCUUCGGAGCUUUCGCUGAAGGAGGGGCUUGCGUCUGAUUAGGUAGUUGGUGAGGUAACGGCCCACCAAGCCGACGAUCAGUAGCCGGUCUGAGAGGAUGAACGGCCACACUGGAACUGAGACACGGUCCAGACUCCUACGGGAGGCA